rnacentral:rRNA from 1 species
CCCUGGUAGUCCACGCCGUAAACGAUGUCGACUUGGAGGUUGUUCCCUUGAGGAGUGGCUUCCGGAGCUAACGCGUUAAGUCGACCGCCUGGGGAGUACGGCCGCAAGGUUAAAACUCAAAUGAAUUGACGGGGGCCCGCAUAAGCGGUGGAGCAUGUGGUUUAAUUCGAUGCAACGCGAAGAACCUUACCUACUCUUGACAUCCACGGAAUUCGGCAGAGAUGCCUUAGUGCCUUCGGGAACCGUGAGACAGGUGCUGCAUGGCUGUCGUCAGCUCGUGUUGUGAAAUGUUGGGUUAAGUCCCGCAACGAGCGCAACCCUUAUCCUUUGUUGCCAGCGAUUCGGUCGGGAACUCAAAGGAGACUGCCGGUGAUAAACCGGAGGAAGGUGGGGAUGACGUCAAGUCAUCAUGGCCCUUACGAGUAGGGCUACACACGUGCUACAAUGGCGCAUACAAAGAGAAGCGACCUCGCGAGAGCAAGCGGACCUCAUAAAGUGCGUCGUAGUCCGGAUCGGAGUCUGCAACUCGACUCCGUGAAGUCGGAAUCGCUAGUAAUCGUGGAUCAGAAUGCCACGGUGAAUACGUUCCCGGGCCUUGUACACACCGCCCGUCACACCAUGGGAGUGGGUUGCAAAAGAAGUAGGUAGCUUAACCUUCGGGAGGGCGCUUACCACUUUGUGAUUCAUGACUGGGGUGAAGUCGUAACAAGGUAACC